CGCACUGCCUGCCCCGUGACCGCGCCUCGGGCUCCUUUCACAGCUACUGCUCUGCAGCUGGGCUGGUGUCGAGAGCUCUGUCACUAGAGGGCAGCAGAGAGUCGCGCGGGAGGAAGGGACUUCUGCUCCAGGCGCCCGGGGUCCGCUGCUGUUUGCUCCUGCAGUUUUGUGGCCAGCACUGGGUCUGGGGCUUGGAGGCGAGCCAGUGGCUUUCGGCCCUGCACGCUGCAGUAGUGAGUGGAUCCCCGCGGCUGGCGUCUCGGCAGGGCGCCUUUCCGGUAGGCCGGUCUUGCCUGUGGUUUUUCUGUGCGUGGCUGCCCCGCAGGGCUAAUUUCUGCUUGUCCAGCCCUUAGCAGCCCAGCAAACACCUCUUCUUGCCUUCCAGCCUCAGCAAGGGCUCUCCCUUCCUUGAGUAGCCUUGUUCCCCACGAGGGUAUUCCUCAGGGUCCUCUCUGUCUCGCGAUGCAUGAUUUUUUUAUACCAUAGUUCAGUUUUUAUAUUAAACCUUCCUUCUGUUGGAGCAGAUAUCAGAGUACAGGCUGGAGUCCUGGCUGCUCUGCUUCCAAUCCAGCUUCCUGCUGAUGCACCUGGUGGGUGGCAGAUGGUGGUGUCUGGGUCCCUGCUGCCCACAUGGGAGACCAGGGACCAGCUCCCUGCCUCUGGGCUCUGGCCCAGCCCUGGCUGUUGGACGGAGACUGGAGCCCGGGGACUGGACAAAAGGCAGGCUCCAGGAGUCAUGGCCUGGGCAGAAGUGUGCCCAGAAGCUGCUUGGCCGCCGGGUGCCCUUCCUGCCCGCCGGCUACAGGCUGGGACACCUGUCAGGAGAAGCUUGUCAAAGGAGAAAGGACAUGACCAGAAAGGACAGGUGUCAGGACCUGCUCCAGGAGAGGGAUUCUGGUGUCCGUGCCUGCCUUGGGGGAGAGGAGUCUUGGCUUCUGUGAUUUGCUUUGGGGAGAAAAUGGGGUGGGAGACAGUGGGGCUGAAGCGGCUCAAGAGGGAGUUGGCUCCUGUAGGCCUUCCCAUCUCCUUGAGUGGCAAAGACUCAGCAGACCACAGUGCCUUGGCACUGCAUUCCAAGCCCAGGCCUUGCUAAGUUCCCCCAGGCAUGGCUAUUCCAUCAGACCCACUUUUUUUAAAAAGAUUUAUUUAUUUGGGGUCGGUGCCAUGGUGCAGUAGGUUAAUCCCCCGCCUGCGGUACUGGCAUUCCAUAUGGGCACAGGUUCUAGUCCCAGUUGCUCCUCUUCCAGUUCAGCUCUCUGUUGUGGCCUGGGAGGGCAGUGGAGGAUGGCCCAAGUGCUUGGGCCCCUGCACCCAUGUGGGAGACCAGGAAGAAGCACCUGGCUCCUGGCUUUGGAUCGGCACGGCUCUGGCCAUUGCUAACACCUGGGGAGUGAACCAAUGGAAGGAAGGCCUUUCUCUCUGUCUCUCUCUCUCUCACUGUCUGUAACUCUCUCUCUCAAAUAAAUAAAUAAAAUCUUUUUUAAAAAAAGAUUUAUUUAUUUUAUUUGAGAGGGGAAGAGGUCUCCCAUCUGCUGGUUCACUCCCCAGUUGGCUGCAGUGGCCAGAGCUGCAUCCAUCUGAAGCCAGGAGCUUCUUCCGGGUCUCCCAUGUAGGUGCAGGGGCCCAAGGGCUUGGGCCAUCUUCUACUGCUAUCCCAGGCCAUCAGCAGGGAGCUGGUUUGGAAGUGGAGCAGCUGGGACUUGAACCGGUGCCCAUAUGGAAUGCCAGUGCUGUAGGCGGUAGCUUUAUCCACUAGGCUACAGCGCCGGAUUCCAGACCCACUUUUGUGCAGUCAUCCCUCUGUACAACUGUCCACCUGCAUUGGAUCUAAGUCUAGGAACACGUGCGUUCCUUUGGAUCUUGAUUUCUUGGAGGACCCUGUGUCAUGGACAACGUAGCUGAAACAUGUUUGUGUGCUUUUCUUGCGUUCAUUCGUCUUCUGCUGUAGGGGCCUCGGCCGUGAGCCCAGCAGUGAGUGAGGAAAACAUCACUUUCUCCCUUGCAAACCUAAAUUCUUGUUGAACUAAUUGAUGCGGGGGGGGGGGGACAGGCUCAUUUUCCCCGCCUCCUGUUUCCCUGGAGAGGGACGCGCGAGCUUGGAGGCAGUGCUGGCCUCUGGUUGCCCGGCGGGAGCGGGCGGAAGGGCGCUGGCAUCCGUCUCUGGGGCAGGGGCCCGGCACUGAUGGAGGCAGUCCCAGUCUUUCCACACUCACUUGUUGCUUCUGCUGCCUCCCUGGGGGGCGCUCCUGCCAGCCUGGGGAGCUGCAGCUUCUGUGGAUUUUCCUUGUUCAUGAGCGGGCAUGGAUGGAAACAUCUCCUUUUCUCCCUUGUUGGUACACAAAGGCGCUUGGUCAUUUGACACGCAUGGUAGGUACUCAAGAAUUAGCGCCGGCACCGCGGCUCAUUAGGCUAAUCCUCCGCCUUGCGGCGCCGGCACACCGGGUUCUAGUCCCGGUUGGGGUGCCGGUUCUGUUCCGGUUGCCCCUCUUCCAGGCCAGCUCUCUGCUGUGGCCAGGGAGUUUAGUGGAGGAUGGCCCAAGUGCUUGGGCCCUGCACCCCAUGGGAGACCAGGAGAAGGACCUGGCUCCUAACUUCGGAUUGGCACAGCGUGCUGGCCAUAGCGGCCAUUUGGGGAGUGAACCAACAGAACGAAGACCUUUCUCUCUGUCUCUCUUUCUCUCUCUCACUAACUCUGCCUGUCAAAAAAUAAAAAUAAUAUAAACACGAGUGAAAAUAGGAAAUAAACAUCCUAGAAAAUCUGCACCGGCAAUAUACUAAUUUUUUUAAAGACCUAUAUAUUUAUCUGAAAGGCACAGUUAGAGAGGGAGGGACACACACACACACUCACAGAGAGAGAGAGAGAGAGAGAGAGAGAGAGAUCUUCCAUCUGCAACUUCAGGCUGAAGCCAGGAGCCAGGAACUCCAUCUGGGUCUCCCAUGUGGGUGGCAGGGGCCCAAGCACUUGGGUCAUCCUCUGCUGAUUUUCUCGGUGCAUUAGCAGGAGAGUGGAUGGGAAGUGGAGCAGCUGGGACUCGAACCAGCUCAUAUGGGAUGCCGGCACUGUAGGUGAUGGCUUAGCCCACUGUGCCAGAGUGACACAAUGAUGGCUUGCACAAUGACUGCAAACCUCCCCUGGCCCACCCCCAACCCCUGUUGGCCAUGGCUGUCUACCUCUUCAAACAGAGUGCUUGGAAAGGAAAUAGAAUUAGCUACUAACACGGGGAUUCAGAGCUCUUGGUGCAACAGAGGAAGAGCCGUGACUACCUCAAAGUGGCCCUUGGCUUUCCAGAUCGUAGCAAGGGAGCAGCACCAAACUCUGUCUUGUAAGAAAGCUAGCAGACGCCGUGGCACAGUAGGUUGAUCCUCUGCCUGUGGUGCUGCCAUUCCAUGUGGAUGCCAGUUCUAGUCCUGGCUGUUCCUUUUCCAGUCCAGCUCUCUGCUGUGGCCUGGGAAAGCAGUGGAGGGUGGUCCAAUUCCUUGGGCCCCUGCACCUACGUGGGAGACAGGGAAGAAGCUCCUGGCAUCCUGGCUUUGGAUCGGCACAGCUCCAGACAUUGUGGCCAUUUGGAGAGUGAACCAGCAGAGGGAAGAUCCUUCUCUCUGUCUUUCUCUCUCACUGUCUAUAACUCUACCUCUCAGAUAAAUAAAUAAAAUUAAAAAAAAAAAAAGCUAACAGAGCUGCAAGGUCUCUCCCACAGCCUGGAUCAAAAGCCUUUGGUGAUGGCUGGCGCCGCGGCUCACUAGGCUAAUCCUCCACCUUGUGGUGCAGGCACACGGGGUUCUAGUCCCGGUCGGGACGCCGGAUUCUUUCCUGGUUGCCCCUCUUCCAGGCCAGCUCUCUGCUGUGGCCAGGGAGUGCAGUGGAGGAUGGCCCAAGUCCUUGGGCCCUGCACCCCAUGGGAGACCAGGAGAAGUACCUGGCUCCUGCCAUCGGAUCAGCGCGGUGCGCCGGCCGCAGCCGCUGGCCGUGGCGGCCAUUGGAGAGUGAACCAACGGCAAAGGAAGACCUUUCUGUCUGUCUCUCUCUCACUGUCCACUCUGCCUGUCAAAAAAAAAAUAAAAAAAAUAAAUAAAUUAAAAAAAAAAAGUCUUUGGUGAGCAGUCGCCUGACACACCAUCCAGUGUCACAUCCUGGACAGCUCAGGGUGUGUCAGACAUCGGUGAGAAGACACAGCAGAGAAUGCACCCUAACCCAAGGAAGAGGGCACUAAGGUAGGGGUGGGUGUAGAAGGAGCAGUUGUUGUUUACAGGGAAAAGAUAAUUAGCACCUGUUUGGACUAACUCCAUCUCAAAGGGUUUCCUCCGAUUAGCGGAAGGACCCUUCCCUGUUUCUCAACCAGCAAGCCUUGCAAUUUAAGUGUGCGGGCACCAGGUGGUGGAAGUGAGCCAUGACCGCGAAGUCCCUGCGCACCUGCCGCUGCUCGCCGGCGGCAAACUAACUGAAAAACAGAGCGCGCGCUGCCUUCCCCACCUCGCAGCCGCGUUCUACCCGGAGUGAACCAAAAGGCGUCCGCCUUUCUAGCACUCCCUGGUGGGAAAGGUCCGUCGGAGCGCCCUUGCCGGCAACGUUCACCCUUCGGCCUCCCUCCGAAAAGCCAGCCUGCCCCCGCUUCCAACGCGUGCGAACCUCGGCUCGCUCCUCGCUAAAUCAGCUCGUGUUUGCCAUCUGCCACUUUAUUUCGGCAGAUUGUUUCAAAGCAUUUAUCGAAGGCGUGGCCUCUUCCUAGACCAGCGGUUGUCCAAGGGGGCUCCUGAGUUUUUCUCCAUUUCAACUAACAAAGGAUAGCACAGCAAACUGAAUGCAAAGGAAGAUGUGAGAAUCCAUAGACUUAAAAAUAUAGUCAUGCUAAUAUGUUAAUAUAUAAUGGGUUUCUUGUGACUUUUAAAAAGCUAAUAAAUAUUUUGUUUCAGUUCAAA